UUUUAAACUAUGAAGGAGAGAGUAGUCAAAAAUAGCUUUAAGGGAGAGCAAAUCGUAGACUGGAAGUUUGCUUAAGUGGGUUUUUGUAUGAAGUUCACUCUGGAGUUCUAACUGUGAAAUAAUAGUAGUAGUUAGCGGGAAAUCGAUAAAUUUUCAAGUGAGUUAUAGGAUUAUUCUAUGACUAACUAGGGUGGUAACGCGGAUUAAGUUCGUCCCUUUU
rnacentral:ncRNA from 1 species